GACGAACGCUGGCGGCGUGCUUAACACAUGCAAGUCGAACGGAAAGGCCCCUUCGGGGGUACUCGAGUGGCGAACGGGUGAGUAACACGUGAGUAACCUGCCCUUGACUUCGGGAUAACUUCAGGAAACUGGGGCUAAUACCGGAUAGGAAUCCUUGCUGCAUGGUGGGGGUUGGAAAGCUUCGGCGGUUUUGGAUGGACUCGCGGCUUAUCAGCUUGUUGGUGGGGUAGUGGCUCACCAAGGCUUUGACGGGUAGCCGGCCUGAGAGGGCGACCGGCCACAUUGGGACUGAGAUACGGCCCAGACUCCUACGGGAGGCAGCAGUGGGGAAGAUUGCACAAUGGGCGGAAGCCUGAUGCAGCGACGCCGCGUGCGGGAUGACGGCCUUCGGGUUGUAAACCGCUUUCAGCAGGGGCGAAGCUUGUGGUGACGGUACCUGCAGAAGAAGCACCGGCUAACUACGUG
rnacentral:rRNA from 1 species